AGAGUUUGAUCAUGGCUCAGAACGAACGCUGGCGGAGUGCUUAAGACAUGCAAGUCGAACGAGAAAGCCGACUUCGGUUGGUAAGUAAAGUGGCGCACGGGUGAGUAACGCGUGGGUAAUCUGCCUUCGAGUCUGGGACAACCCCCGGGAAACUGGAGCUAAUACCGGAUGAGACUACAGGGCCUUCGGGUCUGGUGGGAAAAGAUGGCCUCUUCAUGAAAGCUAUCGCUCGGAGAUGAGCCCGCGUCGCAUUAGUUUGUUGGUGAGGUAACGGCUCACCAAGACGAAGAUGCGUAGCUGGUCUGAGAGGAUGACCAGCCACACUGGAACUGAGACACGGUCCAGACUCCUACGGGAGGCAGCAGUCGGGAAUAUUGGACAAUGGGCGCAAGCCUGAUCCAGCAACUCCGCGUGAGGGAUGAAGGCCUUCGGGUCGUAAACCUCUGUCAGAAGGGAAGAACUCCCUUGGCUCAAACAGGGUCGAGGGCUGACGGUACCUUCAAAGGAAGCACCGGCUAACUCCGUGCCAGCAGCCGCGGUAAUACGGAGGGUGCAAGCGUUGUUCGGAAUUAUUGGGCGUAAAGCGGGUGUAGGCGGCCAUGCAAGUCAGAUGUGAAAUCCCUGGGCCCAACCCAGGAACUGCAUUUGAUACUGCACGGCUAGAGUCCCGGAGAGGGUGGCGGAAUUCCAGGUGUAGAGGUGAAAUUCGUAGAUAUCUGGAGGAACACCAGUGGCGAAGGCGGCCACCUGGACGGUGACUGACGCUCAGACCCGAAAGCGUGGGGAGCAAACAGGAUUAGAUACCCUAGUAGUCC
rnacentral:rRNA from 1 species